GACGAACGCUGGCGGCGUGCUUAACACAUGCAAGUCGAACGGAAAGGCCUCUUUCGGGGGGUACUCGAGUGGCGAACGGGUGAGUAACACGUGAGUAACCUGCCCUUGACUUUGGGAUAACUUCAGGAAACUGGGGCUAAUACCGGAUAGGAGCUCCUGCUGCAUGGUGGGGGUUGGAAAGUUUCGGCGGUUGGGGAUGGACUCGCGGCUUAUCAGCUUGUUGGUGGGGUAGUGGCUUACUAGGGCUUUGACGGGUAGCCGGCCUGGGAGGGUGACCGGCCACAUUGGGACUGAGAUACUGCCCAGACUCCUACGGGAGGCAGCAGUGGGGAAUAUUGCACAAUGGGGGGAAGCCGGAUGCAGCAACGCCGUGGGCGUGAGGACGGACUUCGGGUUGGAAACCGCUUUCGCUCAUGACGAAGCUUUGUGUGACGGUAGUGGGUAAAGAAGCACCGGCUAACUACGUG
rnacentral:rRNA from 1 species